rnacentral:rRNA from 1 species
CCUACGGGAGGCUGCAGUAGGGAAUAUUGCUCAAUGGGGGAAACCCAGAAGCAGCAACGCCGCGUGGAGGAUGAAGGUUUUCGGAUUGUAAACUCCUUUUGUUAGAGAAGAUAAUGACGGUAUCUAACGAAUAAGCACCGGCUAACUCCGUGCCGGCAGCCGCGGUAAUACGGAGGGUGCAAGCGUUACUCGGAAUCACUGGGCGGAAAGAGCGCGUAGGCGGGAUAGCAAGUCAGAUGUGAAAUCCUAUGGCUUAACCAUAGAACUGCAUUUGAAACUGUUAUUCUAGAGUAUGGGAGAGGUAGGUGGAAUUCUUGGUGUAGGGGUAAAAUCCGUAGAGAUCAAGAGGAAUACUCAUUGCGAAGGCGACCUGCUAGAACAUAACUGACGCUGAUGCGCGAAAGCGUGGGGAGCAAACAGGAUUAGAUACCCCAGUAGUC